AAGCCGCAAGGCGAGUAGAGCGGCGAAAGGGUGAGUAACACGUAACCAACCUACCCCUCAGAUCGGAAUAACCGCUGGAAACGGCGGAUAAUGCUGGAUGUUCCUGACUGGAGGCAUCUCCGGUUCGGCAAAUGGUGGCGCAAGCUGCCGCUGUGGGAGGGGGUUGCGGGCUAUCAGCUAGUUGGCGGGGUAACGGCCCACCAAGGCGAUGACGGCUACCGGGUCUGAGAGGACGGUCCGGCACACUGGGACUGAGACACUGCCCAGACUCCUACGGGAGGCUGCAGUCGAGAAUCUUCCGCAAUGGGCGAAAGCCUGACGGAGCGACACCGCGUGCAGGAUGAAGGCCUUCGGG
rnacentral:rRNA from 1 species